rnacentral:rRNA from 1 species
GAAUUCGCCCUUAGAGUUUGAUCCUGGCUCAGGACGAACGCUGGCGGCGCGCCUAACACAUGCAAGUCGAACGAGCGAGAGAGAGCUUGCUUUCUCGAGCGAGUGGCGAACGGGUGAGUAACGCGUGAGGAACCUGCCUCAAAGAGGGGGACAACAGUUGGAAACGACUGCUAAUACCGCAUAAGCCCACAGCUCGGCAUCGAGCAGAGGGAAAAGGAGCAAUCCGCUUUGAGAUGGCCUCGCGUCCGAUUAGCUAGUUGGUGAGGUAACGGCCCACCAAGGCGACGAUCGGUAGCCGGACUGAGAGGUUGAACGGCCACAUUGGGACUGAGACACGGCCCAGACUCCUACGGGAGGCAGCAGUGGGGAAUAUUGCACAAUGGGGGAAACCCUGAUGCAGCGACGCCGCGUGGAGGAAGAAGGUCUUCGGAUUGUAAACUCCUGUUGUUGAGGAAGAUAAUGACGGUACUCAACAAGGAAGUGACGGCUAACUACGUGCCAGCAGCCGCGGUAAAACGUAGGUCACAAGCGUUGUCCGGAAUUACUGGGUGUAAAGGGAGCGCAGGCGGGAAGGCAAGUUGGAAGUGAAAUCCAUGGACUCAACCCAUGAACUGCUUUCAAAACUGUUUUUCUUGAGUAGUGCAGAGGUAGGCGGAAUUCCCGGUGUAGCGGUGGAAUGCGUAGAUAUCGGGAGGAACACCAGUGGCGAAGGCGGCCUACUGGGCACCAACUGACGCUGAGGCUCGAAAGUGUGGGUAGCAAACGGGAUUAGAUACCCUGGUAGUCCACACUGUAAACGAUGAUUACUAGGUGUUGGAGGGAUUGACCCCUUCAGUGCCGCAGUUAACACAAUAAGUAAUCCCCCUGGGGAGUACGACCGCAAGGUUGAAACUCAAAGGAAUUGACGGGGGCCCGCACAAGCAGUGGAGUAUGUGGUUUAAUUCGACGCAACGCGAAGAACCUUACCAAGUCUUGACAUCCUGCGACGCACAUAGAAAUAUGUGUUUCCUUCGGGACGCAGAGACAGGUGGUGCAUGGUUGUCGUCAGCUCGUGUCGUGAGAUGUUGGGUUAAGUCCCGCAACGAGCGCAACCCUUAUGGUCAGUUACUACGCAAGAGGACUCUGGCCAGACUGCCGUUGACAAAACGGAGGAAGGUGGGGAUGACGUCAAAUCAUCAUGCCCUUUAUGACUUGGGCUACACACGUACUACAAUGGCGUUAAACAAAGAGAAGCAAGACCGCGAGGUGGAGCAAAACUCAGAAACAACGUCCCAGUUCGGACUGCAGGCUGCAACUCGCCUGCACGAAGUCGGAAUUGCUAGUAAUCGCAGAUCAGCAUGCUGCGGUGAAUACGUUCCCGGGCCUUGCACUCACCGCCCGUCA